rnacentral:rRNA from 1 species
AUGCAGGGAAAACCGGAAACGGAGAACAGUAGGUCCUGCAGAUGUCAGUGUCCGGGCUUGAUUAGGUUGUUGCGUGCAGCAGAAAACAGUUGAUACAUCACAAAGCACCGUGAAAGCCACAACCACUCUAUGUCGUUGAUGAUUGGUGAAAAAGUGCACCGGCCGUCUCACAAGCACAUUGAUGUGUACAUUAAAGAUUUGAUAAAGCGGCUAAGGGAGAAUAAUGUGAAUUUUGGAAAGGUGUACAACAUCAUUGGCAGUUUUUUUGGGUCGAUCGAGAAGGUGCCAUUCACGAAGAGGACUCUAAGGAACAUUUGUGGUAAGAUCAGCCGUGAGCAGGCAGAAGACGAUGUUAGGAAGACAUUGGAGGUGUUUGUAGACAUUGUCAAUGAUGACCCUGGUUUGACAUAUAAAGUUUUGGCAGAGAGAACAAGUAAGGUCAAAAACCUCAUGUGGACUAACGGAAGCAAUCGAAUGCAGUACAGGUUUUUUAGUGAUGUAGUUACAUUCAACACAACCUACAUGAAAAACCUUUGGUCUUUUUGUUGGGGUUAA